GGGGCGGGUGCGGUCGGUUGUGUGUGAGGGCUGAGGGCGCGGCCCCGCUGCUGCCCGGGCUGCGGAGGGGAGAGCGCCUUGGCCGCUGGUUUGCAGCCUGGCUCGUGGUUUCCCCUGGUGCUGGGGAGUGGAGGCGAGUUGUGCUUCCUGCUGGGAGAGAGAAGGGCCUUGGGAAGCUGCUCCAUGAGCCACAGCUGUGCCGAGCCCGGGAGUCUGUCCAGCAGGAUGUCGAGUGCCACCGUGUCCCUGAGGUCACUCUUUCUGCUGUUAGGAGAGCACGAGGUGGCUGGAGAGGAUCCCCAGGCAUCUGCAGGCACAAGGGACUCAUAGAACUGCAAUUUUCCUACAGCCCUCGUGAGAGGGACUUUGAGGGUACCAUGGGACGUGAAUGCAAGAACCUGCCAAGAAAACCAAUGGCCAAGCUGAUUGAUUAGUGCAGGACCUGAGAGAAGCACCUUGAAUGACAACCUCGAGCAGUUUCCAGUAUUGGAUUGCAAAGAUGGCCUUUGCUGCAUCUCCUUGAGCAAGGAAAGCCAAGAAACCUUUGCUUUGGCAGGAGAAAAUGGGGAAAGCAGGAAGGAAGAAAAGCAGCCCCCUGACUCCUCCCUGAGCCCCAGACAGCCCAUGAACUGCCUUGCUGGGAAUGGUAGGACAGGAUGGACUCUGGAUUGCUCCCUCUGGAUGUGUGGCUCUCCCCUGCAGGACCUCCAGGAACUCCUGGUGCCGCCUGGGCCGAUGGAUUGGACGCCCCAGCCCCUCCGUUCCUGCCCAGCCACUGGGUCCGUGUCCAGUGGUGGCACUGCCAGCCCUGCAGUGGGAUGUAGCCUGGAAAGUGCACAGAGCUGAGCCAAGGGAUUGAAAGGGACCAAGCAAGGGAGGUGAAGAAAGAAGGAAGAAGGGAAGUGAGGCAGCAGGCAAACAGCACCAAGUUGCUGUGUAAGCAGGUGAGUUGUGUUGAGGUUCCUCAGGCAGGCACUGAGGACUUUGAGGGCUCCAGACAGAGCAGACCUGGGAAGGCCCUCGGUGAAGCCCCUUGGAAACCUUGUAAGGGUCGGUGUGUAUGGUAAUAAGUGUUGGAAAAUGUCCUGAGUAUGGAAUAGGAAUGCAGGGAAGGAAAAUGAACCGUCCUGUAAUGCUGCCAUAUCAGCUUCAGUGGAGAUAGCUGUGUGUGCCCUUUGGGAGCUGAUUGCCAGGGCACCUGGUGGGCUGGAAUGAUUCAAGAGCAUGGGAAUACAAGAUUGCCUGGCUUCUAAAACUCACCAUCUGAGUCUCAGAGGUUCUUGUAAGAAAUUUUAGGUAACACCUGUAGUUUUGUGUGUACUUCUGAGUUCAUUUGGAUAGAGGUUGUCCGGAAAAAGAGGUAUCUUUCUCAUUCCAGGAAGUUGCACUUGAUGAACUUCCCAUCUGAGCUGAUGCCCUUGGCAGGAGAAGUGCUCAGCAAGGAGGCUCUCUGCUCCUAGGCAGGAAGAAAGGUCAGUGCCCUUCCUCCCCAAGGCCCAGCCCAGCAGGGCUGGCAGGAGCUGCUGGUGUGGCUGCUCUUUGGGUUCUCAGCUGUGCCCGUGGGGUGGUGACAUCGUGUUCCUGCCUGUGCUCCAGGGCAGCCAAAAGCCCAGCACAGCCCCUGGGCCUUUUGGGAGCCUGAGCUAUUGCAGCACUGGGGAGGGGGGGUUGGGUUUUUUUCCCUGAAAGUAGAACCAUAGGGGGAUCUCUUAUCUCACAAUUGUUUUUUUGAUAUCUUAAUUAAUUACAACUUUAGAAGAAAACCUUGUGUAACUUAGCAACUGACUUGCACUGGUUACACUGAAAGUGCCAAGGAGUUGUAGUGUCCACUGGAUUGUUUGUAUUGAAGCAGUUUGUUGCUUACAGAGGGAUAAUAACUCCUGUCAGCAGCAAGGUCCCAACUGAAGUGGCAGCUGCAGUUGUUCCUGUGAUGUGGGCCAGUGGAAUUGCAGGAGAGUGGAAGAGGGCAGAACCUGACGUGAAUGCAAGAACCUGCCAAGAAAACCAAUGGCCAAGCUGAUUGAUUAGUGCAGGACCUGAGAGAAGCACCUUGAAUGACAAUCUCAAGGAGUUUCCAGUACUGGAUUGCAAAGAUGGCCUUUGCUGCAUCUCCUUGAGCAAGGAAAGCCAAGAAACCUUUGCUUUGGCAGGAGAAAAUCUGGAAAGCAGGAAGGAAGAAAAGCAGCCCCCUGACUCCUCCCUGAGCCCCAGACAGCCCAUGAACUGCCUUGCUGGGAAUGGUAGGACGGGGUGGACUCUGGAUUGCUCCCUCUGGAUGUGUGUGGGAUGUAGCCUGGAAAGUGCACAGAGCUGAGCCAAGGGAUUGAAAGGGACCAAGCAAGGGAGGUGAAGAAAGAA